rnacentral:piRNA from 1 species
UGUCACGACUUGGUGGAGUGUCACGA